rnacentral:rRNA from 1 species
GACGAACGCUGGCGGCGUGCUUAACACAUGCAAGUCGAACGGAAAGGCCCUGCUUUUGUGGGGUGCUCGAGUGGCGAACGGGUGAGUAACACGUGAGUAACCUGCCCUUGACUUUGGGAUAACUUCAGGAAACUGGGGCUAAUACCGGAUAGGAGCUCCUGCUGCAUGGUGGGGGUGGAAAAGUUUCGGCGGUUGGGGAUGGACUCGCGGCUUAUCAGCUUGUUGGUGGGGUAGUGGCUUACCAAGGCUUUGACGGGUAGCCGGCCUGAGAGGGUGACCGGCCACAUUGGGACUGAGAUACGGCCCAGACUCCUACGGGAGGCAGCAGUGGGGAAUAUUGCACAAUGGGCGGAAGCCUGAUGCAGCAACGCCGCGUGCGGGAUGACGGCCUUCGGGUUGUAAACCGCUUUCGCCUGUGACGAAGCGUGAGUGACGGUAAUGGGUAAAGAAGCACCGGCUAACUACGUG